UAUCAAGCUACUCAACUAAAGCAUAUAGUGGAUGCCUAGGCAUGUUGUGCCGAAGAAGGACGUAUAAGGCCGCGAAAGUCGUCGGUGAGGAGCCAUAAUCCUUUGACCCGGCGGUGUCCGAAUGGGGUAACCCCGCUGUCAGUAAUGGCAGUGUACCGCAGAUUUAUCUGCGAGUAGGUAACCCGGAGAACUGAAACAUCUAAGUACCCGGAGGAAAAGAAAUCGAACGAGAUUCCCCUAGUAAGCGGUGAGCGAAAAGGGAACAGCCUAAACCGUAAUUUAUUACGGUGUUGCAGGGCUAUACAUAACGUCAAGUAAGAGAUAGAAGAACACCGUGGAAUAGGUGACCAUAGUGCGUGAUAGUCGCGUAAUCGAAAUCUCUAACUUGGUAGUAUAGUUCCUAAGUACGUUGGGAGACGGCAAACUCCCUGCGGAAUCCGCCCCGACCACGGGGCAAGGCUAAAUACGCAACAUGACCGAUAGUGAACUAGUACCGUGAGGGAAAGGUGAAAAGAUGGGUGAGACACCCAGUGAAAUAGUACCUGAAACUGUAUGCUAACAAACAGACAGAGUCUGGAUUUAUCCGGAUGAUGUCGUGCCUAUUGAAGAAUGACCCGUCGAGUUUGCAUGUACUGCAAGUCUAAGCGAUAUCGUCGCGGAGGCGUAGUGAAAGCGAGGAUGAAUAGUCCGAUUAGCAGUGCGUCCAAGACCCGAAACCGGAGUGAGCUAACCAUGAGCAGGGUGAACCCCAUGUAAAAGUGGGGGAAGGCCCGAACCAGUGAAUGCUGCAAAAUUCUUGGAGGACUUGUGGUUAGAGGUAAUAUGCCAAUCGAACCCGGAGAUAGCUGGUUCUCCCCGAAAUAUAUUUAGGUAUAGCCUCAAGUGAUUGCAUGAUGGGGGUAGAGCACUGAAAAGGUGCGGGAUCGCAAGGUCUCUCACUUUAUCAAACUCCGAAUACCAACAUGUUCAGCUUGGGAGUCAGUCCCUGGGAGCUAAGUUCCAGGGGCAAAAGGGAAACAACCCACGAUCGUCAAUUAAGGUCUCAAAAUCAUAACUAAGUGGCUCAAGGAAGUCAUAAUCCAUAUACAGCUAGGAGGUCGGCUCAGAAGCAGCCAUCCUUGAAAGAAAGCGUAACAGCUCACUAGUCUCGGAUUGUGGCGCCGAAGACCCAUCGAGGCUCAAGUUAUGUACCGAAAUUACGGAUUUGUAAGCGAUUUAUCGUUUAUAAGUGGUAGGGGAGCGUUCUGACAACUGUGAAGUCGUCCUGUAAGGGGCGGUGGAGUGGUCAGAAGUGAGAAUGGCGGGAUGAGUAGCGAGAAUAAGGUGAGAAUCCUUAUCACCGUAUGUUCCAGGUUUCCAACGCAACGUUCGUCGGCGUUGGGUUAGGCGGCCCUAAGGCGAGGCUGGUGUAAUGCCGGCGUAGUCGAUGGAUUACAGGUUGAUAUUCCUGUCCUUUUGGGCGUUCGUUAUCAACUGGGGAGUGACGGUUUAGGAAGGGCAAGGCGCAUUAUCGAAUUUGCGUCCAAGCGUUAAGGGAGUUGACUCUAGGAAAAUCCGGAGUUGGCAUUACGAUCCGAGACGUGAUGGAAAAUGUUGGCUUCGGCCAGCGUGAUCUUGUAUCCUUUCUGAAUCCAAGAAAACCUUCGCAGUGAGAAUGUUCAAAAUCCGUACCGCAAACCGACACAGGUGAACUGGUAGAGUAUACCAAGGUGAGCGAGAGAACCUUCCUUAAGGAACUCGGCAAAUUAGCUAGGCGUAACUUAGGGAGAUGCCUAACCUGUUUUUUGGGUACUUGUAUUCAAAAAAUGGGUCGCAGAUAAAGACUAUGAGGUGACUGUUUAACAAAAACACAGGUCUGUGCGAAGGCGUAAGCCUACGUAUACGGGCUGAGGCCUGCCCAGUGCCAGAAGGUUAACUGAGAGGGUAACCCCGACUUGUUCGGGAUAGCCUUUGAUUGAAGCCCUGGUGAACGGCAGCAGUAACUAUAACUGUUCUAUGGUUAAGGACUAAUAAUCGUUGCCAUAGUGAGGUAGUCAAACCUCUUCUAACGCGUGCAGAAAAAACGUUAGAAAAAACUUUGCUAUUUGCUGGAAGAGCUGAGAAUAUUCUGCUACUAUGAGUGUAAUGACACAUAGUGACAAUGCAAGAAUUGCAGCAAACCAGCAGGAAAGAUUCCGAUUUAUCGGAGAAUCCUCAGAGACUACAUGCAGAGUACGGCGAAAGCCUAAAGAUAUAGUCCGAACUGCAUAGCGAUAUGCAGAGUGUGGUAAUCACACGAGUCGAAAGACUUUAACAUUAUUAAGCGAAAUUCCUUGUCGGGUAAGUUCCGACCUGCACGAAUGGUUUAACAAUCUCAUAACUGUCUUGAGGGAGGGCUCGGCGAAAUUGAAAUGGCUGUGAAGAUGCGGCCUACUGGUAACAGGACAAAAAGACCCCGUGGAGCUUUACUGUACCUUGACACUGAAAUUUAUGUUUUGACUGUGUAGCGUAGGUGGGAGCCGCAAGGCGAUCAUGUAACACCACUCUUUGAAACGUGAGUUUCUCACUUAUCCCUCUGGAUCGAGGGAGAGGACACUGUCUGGGAGGCAGUUUAACUGGGGAGGUUGCUUGCUAAAGAGUACCGCAAGCGCUCAAAGGUAUCCUAAUUCCGGAUGGAAAUCGGAAUGAUAGUGCAAGGGCAUAAGGAUGCCUGACUGUGAGACACACAAGUCAAGCAGAGACGAAAGUCGGACCUAGUGAUCCUCGUGUACUUCGUGGGAGGUACCGGGCUUAUCGGAUAAAAGCUACCCCGGGGAUAACAGAGUAGUUGCACCUGAGCGUCCACAGCGACGGUGCAGUUCGCUACCUCAACAUAUCGGGGUCCUCAGAUUGUAAGAUCUGAGUGCUGUUUUAGAUCAAUGAUCUAAAGAAAAACCAACUCAUAACGGUGAAACCCUCAUUCAUUGAACCCACUUGAUAUUCGGUGUUAUUUCGGUAAUACUAGAAUCAAGCGUUUGAAUAGGGCAAUACCGUGGGAAGUUUGUCAAAAUUACAAUCAGAUGUAGUAAUAGGAUGUAUGCUUGGUGAUGGAUAUAUGCGUUGCAAAAACAAUGCACAUCUCCAAAUCACACAUAGUAUUCAUCAAAAAGACUACGUUGAUUGGAAGUAUAGCGUCCUAAAUAAUUGCGUACUAACGCCGCCAAAAUCAUAUAAAGGUAAUGGUAAGAGAGUAGGCUAUCGGUUUUUUACCGCUAGCAUGCCUUGCUUUACUUCUAUAUAUCAUCAAUUUUAUAUCAAUAAAAAGAAGAUAAUUCCUCUUGAUUUAGAACUAAAUGCUCGCAUUAUGGCAGUGUGGUACAUGGACGACGGAAGUUUGUGUGAUAAAAGUUGCUACCUCAAUACGCAGGUGUUCCCUGAACAAGAACAACUCUUACUGGGUAGACUCCUUUUUAGAUAUUUUGGGUUGACUGUCAGUCGUGAUCAAGAUAAGCAAUAUUAUCGAUUACGAUUUAACGUCAAAGAAUCCAAAAAGUUUGUCGAUAUUAUUCGACCAUACAUAAUUCCUUCUAUGGCAUACAAAAUUUUGAUAUAACCCCGUAUCGACUGGAUCCCCGCCUUGGCGGGGUGAAGAUAGGGAUAAAAUAUCUCUAUAAAACGUUGGCACCCUCUAUUUAAUUAGAGAGGUGAUGGUAUAGUCAAAACUAAUUGGAGACAAUUAAAUAAUUAUUGAGCGAUGUCGGCUCAGCGCAUCCUGGGGCUGGAGAAGGUCCCAAGGGUUGGUCUGUUCGCCCAUUAAAGCGCUACGUGAGCUGGGUUCAGACCGUCGUGAGACAGGUCGGUCUCUAUCCGUUAUCAGCGUUGGAAUUUUGAGGGGGGUUGCUCUUAGUACGAGAGGACCGGAGUGAGCCAACCGCUAGUGUUUCUGUUGUAGUCGUCAGACGCAUCGCAGAGUAGCUACGUUGGUAAGUGAUAACCGCUGAAAGCAUCUAAGCGGGAAACACGCCCCAAGAUGAGAAUUCCUUGUUUAUAGAAAUAUAGACGGUAGAUCCCUGGAAGACCACCAGGUAAUCGGCAGGAGGUGUACGCACUGCAAAGUGUUUAGCUGACCUGUCCAGAGACAUCAGAAUCUUCUGAUAGU
rnacentral:rRNA from 1 species